rnacentral:rRNA from 1 species
GACAGCAGUAGCCGCGGUAAUACGGAGGGUGCAAGCGUUAAUCGGAAUUACUGGGCGUAAAGCGCACGCAGGCGGUCUGUCAAGUCAGAUGUGAAAUCCCCGGGCUUAACCUGGGAACUGCAUUUGAAACUGGCAGGCUAGAGUCUUGUAGAGGGGGGUAGAAUUCCAGGUGUAGCGGUGAAAUGCGUAGAGAUCUGGAGGAAUACCGGUGGCGAAGGCGGCCCCCUGGACAAAGACUGACGCUCAGGUGCGAAAGCGUGGGGAGCAAACAGGAUUAGAUACCCGAGUAGUCCCUGUCUCUUAUAA